rnacentral:rRNA from 1 species
GACGAACGCUGGCGGCGUGCCUAAUACAUGCAAGUCGAACGCAGUGGGGACGGGUGAGUAACACGUGGGUAACCUCCCAUCAGAGGGGAGAACACUUGGAAACAGCUGCUAAACCGACACUGAUGGAUGGACUCGCGGUGCAUUAGCUAGUUGGUGGGGUAACGGCUUAACAAGGCCACGACGCAUAGCCGACCUUAGAGGGUGAUCGGCCACACUGGGACUGAGACACGGCCCAGACUCCUACGGGAGGCAGCAGUAGGGAAUCUUCGGCAAUGGACGAAAGUCUGACCGAGCAACGCCGCGUGAGUGAAGAAGGUUUUCGGAUCGUAAAGCUCUGUUGUUAGAGAAGCGGUAUCUGACCAGAAAGCCACGGCUAACUACGUGCCAGCAGCCGCGGUAAUUC